UACGCAGGUGGCAAGCGUUGUCCGGAUUUACUGGGCGUAAAGAGCGCGCAGGCGGUCGUGCAAGUCGCGUGUGAAAGCCCCCGGCUCAACUGGGGAGGGUCACGCGAUACUGCUCGACUCGAAGGCAGGAGAGGGAAGUGGAAUUCCCGGUGUAGUGGUGAAAUGCGUAGAUAUCGGGAGGAACACCAGUGGCGAAGGCGACUUCCUGGCCUGUUCUUGACGCUGAGGCGCGAAAGCUAGGGUAGCAAACGGG
rnacentral:rRNA from 1 species